rnacentral:lncRNA from 1 species
GCAAUGAUUCACAUCGGAAGACCCUGGCCUUUGAAACCAGUUCGGACCAGGAGGCGCUCCAGACCCUCUGUGCCAGGCAGGGUGGGUUCUUACCUUCAUGAGAACAACUGGAGGAGUCGGAAGGCACAGCCCUGGUGCCAGUCGGCAGGCAGCCGAACUGAGGGGAGCCGUCGGGGCCAGGCCCCAUGCUCUGCAGGUCCGAGUAGCCACAGCUGCCCUUGGCCAGCAGAGCCGGGCUAGACCAGCCCUCGGGAUCCAGGGGCCGUGAGUUGAGGUAGGCACCCAGGUUGGACCUGUGGUGGGGAUCCGUGGGGUGGGUGUACAGCAGCCACGUG